rnacentral:tRNA from 1 species
GGAGGCGUGUGCGUUCCUGGUGGGCGUCCCGGUCUUCAACACCGGUGAGGGCGAGCAUCUCGUCCUGGCGGGUUCGAUUCCCGUCCGCCUCCGCCA